CUUGCUUCCUCUGAUACAUGUAUUCAGGUGAGAGACAAGAGAAGAAUGAGUCAGCAGCUCCUGUGUUCAUCUCCAAGACUUGAAGAUAUAUAUCAUCUGUAAGGAAGCUUAUCCAAUUCCCACAUCAGUAUAUGGCAGCUACUGGCAGAGUCAAGUUCCUUUCUUCCACCUUGGGUGGAUUCACACACUUUUUGUGGCAUUUCUAUACGACAAUGUACAUGGAAAUAUCAGCAAGCUAACUGCUCUGAAUUAUGAAGAACGUGGAAAUAUUAUUAGAAUUUACAUGUGAAAAUAUGACAGCCUGCAUCACCAUCCACUCCUGGCACUCAAGGCAUAGGUACAUUAUUUAGGAUACACAACAUACCACCACACUUCCCUGGGAGAAACGCAAUGUCAGUGUGACAUGGGUGUGCAACUGUUAAUGUAACUAAAAUGUUAUGGAAUUUUAAGUACAAAGCUAUGCUUCAAACUG